AGGAUUUUAGUUUAUAAAAACAUUUGAUUUGCAUUCAAAAAUUAUUGAUUUUCAAUUUAUCUUA
rnacentral:tRNA from 1 species